UGCACACAGCAUGUGUGUGGAGAGGGGCGACCAUCCUCCGGCCGCGCCCCAGCCCCGUCACGAACGGCUCUCCGCACCAGCUGGAGCCGGCUUUCCGAGACCAACCGAAGCUCCGUGGCACUUCAGUAUUGUUACGUCUAGG